AGAACGAACGCUGGCGGCAGGCCUAACACAUGCAAGUCGAACGCCCUAGCAAUAGGGAGUGGCAGACGGGUGAGUAACGCGUGGGAACAUGCCUUUCGGUUCGGAACAACUCGGGGAAACUUGAGCUAAUACCGGAUACGCCCUUUUGGGGAAAGAUUUAUCGCCGGAAGAUUGGCCCGCGUCUGAUUAGCUAGUUGGCGGGGUAACGGCCCACCAAGGCGACGAUCAGUAGCUGGUCUGAGAGGAUGAUCAGCCACAUUGGGACUGAGACACGGCCCAAACUCCUACGGGAGGCAGCAGUGGGGAAUAUUGGACAAUGGGCGCAAGCCUGAUCCAGCCAUGCCGCGUGAGUGAUGACGGCCUUAGGGUUGUAAAGCUCUUUUGCCUGGGAAGAUAAUGACGGUACCAGGAGAAUAAGCCCGGCUAACUUCGCGCCAGCAGCCGC
rnacentral:rRNA from 1 species